GGGGAAUUAGCUCAGUUGGUUAGAGCGCUACCUUGACAUGGUAGAGGUCGCCGGUUCGAAUCCGGCAUUGCCCACUA
rnacentral:tRNA from 1 species